UACGAAGGGGGCUAGCGUUGCUCGGAAUCACUGGGCGUAAAGCGCACGUAGGCGGAUCCUUAAGUCGGGGGUGAAAUCCUGGAGCUCAACUCCAGAACUGCCUUCGAUACUGAGGAUCUCGAGUCCGGGAGAGGUGAGUGGAACUGCGAGUGUAGAGGUGAAUUCGUAGAUAUUCGCAAGAACACCAGUGGCGAAGGCGGCUCACUGGCCCGGUACUGACGCUGAGGUGCGAAAGCGUGGG
rnacentral:rRNA from 1 species